CGGCAGCGUAACACUCCCACCAUUUUUAUUGGGUUAGACAGCUGUUACCCAGGAGUGAGCAGUCCUAUUUAUACUAGCAUCCCAGUUAUGUUUCCUGUCCUUUCUGCUGUGAUGGGGAGGAAAUACCAAUUAGUUAUUGCUGCCAGAUUGAAUUUGUUGUAUCUUGCCAUUACCCUUAAGCAGGGCCGUCUUUAACGCGGGGCAAACGGUGCAGCUGCCCCGGGCC